UACGUAGGGCGCAAGCGUUGUCCGGAAUUAUUGGGCGUAAAGAGCUCGUAGGCGGUCUGUUGCGUCUGCCGUGAAAACCCGAGGCUUAACCUCGGGCCUGCGGUGGAUACGGGCAGGCUAGAGUUCGGUAGGGGAGACUGGAAUUCCUGGUGUAGCGGUGAAAUGCGCAGAUAUCAGGAGGAACACCGGUGGCGAAGGCGGGUCUCUGGGCCGAUACUGACGCUGAGGAGCGAAAGCGUGGGGAGCGAACAGG
rnacentral:rRNA from 1 species